rnacentral:tRNA from 1 species
UACUUAGUAGCUCAGAGGUAAGAGCAAUCGACUGAUACUCGAUUUGUCGCAGGUUCAAUUCCUGCUUAAGUAA